CCCAACAUGAGGGUAAAUUAUUAAUGAAAUAAUUUUGCUAUUUGGGUGAACUAACCCUUUAAGUUUGCAUGUAAGAGUAAUUUUAAGUCAUAAAAUGAAUAUUAACUGUUCUGUUUGUUUUGCAGAUUCAAAUCCAACAGAGAGAGAUUAUCGUUAUCAGUCGUUAUCUUUUAGUGCAACAUUAUUGGAAUAUCUGUCAUGUGGAUCAUAUGUCUGUUAAUCAGGAUUAAACAACAAAAGGCUUUAUCUCCAGUUAGCAUUAUAGAGGAAACACACCCGUCCAUAUUGAAAUGUCGGACACAAAAGAGACACACAUCCAGUUUUUGAUGCCAAUAAAGAUCAAGAAGCUUGAGGGGACAAUGAUGCACAAUAAAAUGAGGAUCAUUUGAGACUGAAACAUCUUGGUCAAAAAGAGGAAAAAUUGGCUAUAUUCCUUUAACAUAACACAUUUGUAACAAUUGCUGUAUAAGUACUGUAUAUUUGAUAAUUCAGCAUAGUUUUUUUUUUUCAGUAGAAUUUACAAUUUGAAUAAAUGAGCAUUGGCAACUUUUUAUGUGCCAUUUAAUGGGGACUGCAAAAUUUAUUUUGUCUGGGCGAGAGGUUGGGGG